GGAAGUGUUUCGUUACCGGUGUAACGCCUGGUCUUCAAAACCAGUGGACGGCUAAUACCCGUUUGUAGGUUCGACUCCUAUGCACUUCC
rnacentral:tRNA from 1 species